UACAUGUAAUAUUUCGACAAAAAUUUAGAAUCGGGGAGUAACUUUUUUUUUCGAACCCAAAGUAAGCUUGACUUGAGUAAUUAGAGUCGACGCCGGUUAGCACGUACUAGCAUGCAGCAAACGUGGAGUAGCACUCUCCGUUGGUCAUUUCAAUCGGGUUCAAUUUUUUUUUUCGAGAAAAUCAGGUUCAAUGUAGAGUUGUUGGAUUGCGUUGUGUUGAACUUUUUUAUGAUUUAAUUUGAAAAUAAGAAAAGUUAAUUAGCCAAACGGAAAAUAAGUAAAAGCUUGAUUAUCAUCACCUAAAGACAAACUCAAGUACUCACACUCGGACAGCAAAUUUUAGCUUAAUUGUUUGGUGGUCACAUGUACGCGUCUAGAAAAGGUGCACCGGGUGAGACGCUGCACCAAGCGUCUAGAAAAGGCAUCGACGCAGAUGAUCAAGCACUAAAAAAGAACCGAUUUUUUUCCUUUCCAAGCACCGGCCGGGCGAUCCCGCUGUGGCAAAAAGGCCCAGAAUUUUUUAUGCCGUUCUAGUGCCAUAUAUGGCUCUAAGACCUAAACUGGAAACAGAGUAGUACCUCG
rnacentral:lncRNA from 1 species